CAGCAGCCGCGGUAAUACGAAGGGGGCUAGCGUUGCUCAGAAUGACUGGGCGUAAAGGGCGCGUAGGCGGAUUGUUUAGUUAGGCGUGAAAUUCCUGGGCUUAACCUGGGGACUGCGCUUAAUACAGGCAGUCUAGAGUGAGGAAGAGGGUUGUGGAAUUCCCAGUGUAGAGGUGAAAUUCGUAGAUAUUGGGAAGAACACCGGUGGCGAAGGCGGCAACCUGGUCCUUGACUGACGCUGAGGCGCGAAAGCGUGGGGAGCAAACGGGAUUAGAUACCCCUGUAGUCCCUGUCUCUUAUAC
rnacentral:rRNA from 1 species